rnacentral:rRNA from 1 species
CGAGCGGAAAGGCCACUUCGGUGGUACUCGAGCGGCGAACGGGUGAGUAACACGUGAGUAAUCUGCCCCUGGCUUUGGGAUAGCCACCGGAAACGGUGAUUAAUACCGGAUAUGACAUGGACUCGCAUGGGUUUGUGUGGAAAGUUUUUCGGCCAGGGAUGUGCUCGCGGCCUAUCAGCUUGAUGGUGAGGUAAUGGCUCACCAUGGCUUCGACGGGUAGCCGGCCUGAGAGGGUGACCGGUCACACUGGGACUGAGACACGGCCCAGACUCCUACGGGAGGCAGCAGUGGGGAAUAUUGGACAAUGGGCGGAAGCCUGAUCCAGCAACGCCGCGUGAGGGAUGACGGCCUUCGGGUUGUAAACCUCUUUCAGUACCGACGAAGCGCAAGUGACGGUAGGUACAGAAGAAGCACCGGCCAACUACGUGCCAGCAGCCGCGGUAAUACGUAGGGUGCGAGCGUCGUCCGGAAUUAUUGGGCGUAAAGGGCUCGUAGGCGGUUUGUCGCGUCGGGAGUGAAAACGCCGUGCUUAACACGGCGCUUGCUUUCGAUACGGGCAGACCAGAGGUAUGCAGGGGAAAACGGAAUUCCUGGUGUAGCGGUGAAAUGCGCAGAUAUCAGGAGGAACACCGGUGGCGAAGGC